UUUCACCUCUCACCCUUACACCCCUCUUUCACCUCUCAUCCUUUCACCUCUACGCACACAGAGCAGGAGAAGAAGAAAUUUGUGGUUGGAGAAGAAGCACGAUCGAAGCUUGAAUCCUCGACAUAGUAGGAGAACUUCGCUGCUCUUCUCUCCUCGUCUAUGCUCGUCGAUCGCGUCUGGGUCUCAGAUCUCAUCCCUGCUCAUUUUCGCUCAAACAGAUUUUCUCAUCAUUCUUCUCAAAGGAGAACUCCGCUGCUCUUCUCUGCUCGUCUUUGCUCGUCGAUCGCGUCUGGGUCUUAGAUCUCAUCCCUGCUCAUUUUCGCUCAAACAGGUAUGCCUAAUUAGAAAAAAUCCAUCAAUGGUUUGUUUGCGUUGCCACAAAUCUAACAAGAACAAGAAACUAAAACAGCCCUGAUCAAAAUUAGAGAGUAAAAGAGAGGAAAGUAGAAGAGAUAGAUGAGUUUACCUCUCCAUUCGAUCAUUGAGCUUGAAUA